rnacentral:rRNA from 1 species
AUUGAACGCUGGCGGCAUGCUUUACACAUGCAAGUCGAACGGUAACAGGCCGCAAGGUGCUGACGAGUGGCGAACGGGUGAGUAAUGCAUCGGAACGUGCCCAGUCGUGGGGGAUAACGCAGCGAAAGCUGCGCUAAUACCGCAUACGAUCUAUGGAUGAAAGCGGGGGACCGUAAGGCCUCGCGCGAUUGGAGCGGCCGAUGUCAGAUUAGGUAGUUGGGGGGGUAAAGGCUCACCAAGCCAACGAUCUGUAGCUGGUCUGAGAGGACGACCAGCCACACUGGGACUGAGACACGGCCCAGACUCCUACGGGAGGCAGCAGUGGGGAAUUUUGGACAAUGGGCGCAAGCCUGAUCCAGCAAUGCCGCGUGCAGGAAGAAGGCCUUCGGGUUGUAAACUGCUUUUGUACGGAACGAAAAGGCUCUGGAUAAUACCUGGGGCUCAUGACGGUACCGUAAGAAUAAGCACCGGCUAACUACGUGCCAGCAGCCGCCGUAAGAC